UACCAGCACCCCGAGUGGUCGGGACGUUUAUUGGGCCUAAAGCAUCCGUAGCCGGUUCUGCAAGUCUUCCGUUAAAUCCACCUGCUUAACAGAUGGGCCGCGGAAGAUACUAUAGAGCUAGGAGGCAGGAGAGGCAAGCGGUACUCAGUGGGUAGGGGUAAAAUCCGUUGAUCCAUUGAAGACCACCAGUGGCGAAGGCGGCUUGCCAGAACGCGCUCGACGGUGAGGGAUGAAAGCUGGGGGAGCAAACCGG
rnacentral:rRNA from 1 species